GGCCGGGGUGCCGCGGGUCUGGGCGCCGUACCCUGCGCCCUGCUGGGGUCCCUGCCCGGGCUCGGGGCGUCUUCCCCAGCUCCGUAAAGGCCAACUGAGAAUCAUCCAAGAAGCCUUACAGAAUAGCUAGUGCUAGUCCAGCUUUCAUUUUAGAGAAGGAGAAACUGAGACCCAGAAAGGAUGUUGGAUUGGCCCAAAGUCUCACAAGCGGACACGGCUUCGAGCCCUGGUCCGGGAAGAUCCCACAUGCUGCGGAGCAACUAGGCCCGUGAGCCACAACUACUGAGCCUGCGCGUCUGGAGCCUGUGCUCCGCAACAAGAGAGGCCGCGAUAGUGAGAGGCCUGCGCACUGCGAUGAAGAGUGGCCCCCGCUUGCUGCAACUAGAGAAAGCCCUCGCACAGAAAACGAAGA